UUCUGCACAGAGGUGGUUCUCUUUGCCUCCGAGGCACUUUUUGUAGAGUCCUUCCACACCAUCCUCCCCUCCCUGCCCCCACAAACCAGCAGCAAAGCAAGGAGGAGGAAAAGAGUUCCUGUCCUCCUGCUCUUCAGGUUAUGGCAGUGCUAAUGCCAGAGCCAGCUGCUGGGGGAGAAACUCCCCAGGACCUCACUGGGCAGCAUCUGGAUCACCUGAGGGAAGGGAGAAUCCAUGGCCUGCACCUGGAGCCACCUUGGGAACACAGCUGCAGCACUUACCUGACAAAUCCUGGUGCUAAAUGGGAUAAACAUAGAGGAUGGAGCUGUCACAGAGAUCACCAGCCAACACGCAGCAGCACCAGGAGAUGGUGGUACCUUGGGCUGCGUGGGGACAGUGACAUCUGCGUCACGUGGCGCAUCUCUUGGAGCACAACCCUCCAGCAUCAGUCUGCACAAACAGCCUCUGCAUCCCGAAGAAGAGGUAACUUUGAUUCACCUUAGGCAAAAUGAGGGCCUUCUGUGGUGUCUCCACAUUCUCCUGACGGGACGCGUGCUGGUUCAUCGGUGUGGCCAACCACAGCUCAUAGCAGCUCCUGCUCAGUCUGCGCUGCCGUGACCCUGCCUGGGAUUCCUACCACUUGUUUGUCUGACCCUGCUCUGCCUGGAUUUGGGCUGACAUCGUGCACCUCAAACACGACUCUCUUCCCCCAGAUUCCCAUUGGGAUCAACAUAUUGUGGCUCCUCAAAUGAAUUAUUUCAAUGAUUAUUUUGACCUUGCCCAAAUGAGAAAGGAAACAAAGGGAUGCAGAAACACAGUGUUUUGGUUUUCAGAAACUUCAAAUCAUCUGACCGAGGAACCAAAGUAUUUCAAGAAGGAUUCAAACCCAUUCGUUUUGCUCUGCGUUUCUCAUGAGGCCGAGACAGUGUUUCUCAAACUGCUCCAAAUUGCCGUCACAUCAACCACCGUCUCUCCCGGAGAACGGCACGACUCAGCGCUGGGGCGGCCGGAGCCCCGCACGAGCCAAGGGCCACCCACGGAGCCUCUGUAUGCGUCACGCCGGCUCCGGAGGGCUGCGUCCAGCCGUGGGUGUCCCAGCUGAGGUCCUUCGGGGGCAGCUCAGAGGUCCAAGGCUCUGCAAAGCAUCACCAGGCUCCCCGGCUCAGCCCUUGCAUCCUCCUCUGUGCUCUGCAAGAUCACCCCUCCCCUCGUGUCUGUUUGCUCCCUGGGACCAGCUUCUGUAGCCACAUAAAAGCCUUAUAAUCCUUCAGUGCA